GCAGUGGUAGCUCAGUGGUAGGGCACUUGUUUAGCAUGUAUGAGGCCCUGAGUUCUAUCCCCAGCAAUGCA
rnacentral:tRNA from 1 species